rnacentral:rRNA from 1 species
AACGUAGGGGGCGAGCGUUAUCCGGAUUUACUGGGCGUAAAGCGCACGUAGGCGGCGCCGUAAGUUGGGCGUGAAAGCUCUCGGCUUAACCGGGAGAGGUCGUUCAAAACUGCGGUGCUUGAGGUUGACAGAGGAGAGUGGAAUUCCCGGUGUAGUGGUGGAAUGCGUAGAUAUCGGGAGGAACACCAGUGGCGAAGGCGACUCUCUGGGUCAUACCUGACGCUGAGGUGCGAAAGCGUGGGGAGCGAACGGG